rnacentral:misc_RNA from 1 species
GAUGAAGAACGUAGUGAAAUGCGAUAAGUAAUGUGAAUUGCAGAAUUCAGUGAAUCAUCGAAUCUUUGAACGCACCUUGCGCCCUUUGGCCAUUCCGAAGGGCAUGCCUGUUUGAGUAUCAUGAACACCUCAACUCUUUAUGGUUUUCCAUGAUGAGCUUGGACUCUGGGGGUUUUGCUGGCUCACAGUCGGCUCCUCUAAAAUGAAUCAGCUUACCAGUGUUUGGUGGGUAUCAUGGGUGUGAUAACUAUCUACGCUUGUGGUUUUUCCACCAGGUAACCUUCAGCAGUGGAGGUUCGCUGGAGCUCAUAGAUGUCUCUCCUCAGUGAGGACAGACCUUUGAAUGUUUGAUCUCAAAUCAGGUAGGACUACCCGCUGAACUUAAGCAUAUCAAUAAGCGGAGGA